GAUGAACGCUAGCGGCAGGCUUAACACAUGCAAGUCGAGGGGUAGGUUACUUCGGUAAUUGAGACCGGCGCACGGGUGCGUAACGCGUAUACAAUCUACCUUUUACAGAGGGAUAGCCCAGAGAAAUUUGGAUUAAUACCUCAUAGUAUUUUUGAAUCGCAUGAUUUGAUUAUUAAAGUUCCAACGGUAAAGAUGAGUAUGCGUCCCAUUAGCUAGAUGGUAAGGUAACGGCUUACCAUGGCUACGAUGGGUAGGGGUCCUGAGAGGGAGAUCCCCCACACUGGUACUGAGACACGGACCAGACUCCUACGGGAGGCAGCAGUGAGGAAUAUUGGACAAUGGGCGCAAGCCUGAUCCAGCCAUGCCGCGUGCAGGAAGAAGGUCCUAUGGAUUGAAACUGCUUUUAUAACAAGAAGAAACACUCCCUCGUGAGGGAACUUGACGUACUGUAUAGAAUAAGGACCCGGCUAACUCCGUGCCAGCAGCCGCGGUAAA
rnacentral:rRNA from 1 species